UACAGAGGGUGCGAGCGUUAAUCGGAAUUACUGGGCGUAAAGCGCGCGUAGACGGUUUGGUAAGUCAGAUGUGAAAUCCCCGGGCUCAACCUGGGAACUGCAUUUGAUACUGCCUGGCUAGAGUAUCGAAGAGGGAAGUGGAAUUUCCGGUGUAGCGGUGAAAUGCGUAGAUAUCGGAAGGAACACCAGUGGCGAAAGCGACUUCCUGGUCGAAUACUGACGUUCAUGUGCGAAAGCGUGGGGAGCAAACAGGG
rnacentral:rRNA from 1 species